rnacentral:rRNA from 1 species
UACGGAGGGGGCUAGCGUUGUUCGGAAUUACUGGGCGUAAAGCGCACGUAGGCGGCUUUGUAAGUUAGAGGUGAAAGCCCAGGGCUUAACCCUGGAAUUGCCUUUAAGACUGCAUCGCUAGAAUUGUGGAGAGGUAAGUGGAAUUCCGAGUGUAGAGGUGAAAUUCGUAGAUAUUCGGAAGAACACCAGUGGCGAAGGCGACUUACUGGACACAUAUUGACGCUGAGGCACGGAAAGCGUGGGGAGCAAACAGG